rnacentral:rRNA from 1 species
GGCUCAACCUGGGGGCUGCGCUUGAUACAUGUGCGCUUGAGUCGGAAGAGGGUCGUGGAAUUCCCAGUGUAGAGGUGAAAUUCGUAGAUAUUGGGAAGAACACCGGUGGCGAAGCGGCGACCUGGUCCGAUACUGACGCUGAGGCGCGAAAGCGUGGGGAGCAAACAGGAUUAGAUACCCUGGUAGUCCACGCCGUAANGAUGUGUGCUGGAUGUUGGGUGGCCUAGCCAUUCAGUGUCGUAGCUAACGCGAUAAGCACACCGCCUGGGGAGUACGGCCGCAAGGUUGAAACUCAAAGGAGUUGACGGGGGCCCGCACAAGCGGUGGAGCAUGUGGUUUAAUUCGACGCAACGCGCAGAACCUUACC